GAUACCGAAACGGGCUGUGUGCCCCUUCUCCACCCGGAGGAAUGGUGUCUUGUAGCCUUCAACUCCCUUUGUAUCCAAAAAUGACCUUGACUUUCUAAUUCUCAUACGGUGGAUCAGCUAUGUGCCGUAACUUCCUGUCUAUGCAGUGCUGGGGAGUGAACCCAAAGCUUCGUGCAUACUAGGCAAACCGUGUUGCUAGCACCUCAUCCCUAGUGCUGGAUUCUAAUUUGGAAUCCUCAGUAAUUAAAGGAAGAAAAAACGUCUUAAA
rnacentral:lncRNA from 1 species